AUAUGCCCCUGACUUCUAAGGGGUGUUUUUAUUUGUGACUACUCCCAACAGCCUAGAAUUCUAUCAGUACAACAUCACAUUUUUCUUUUCUGUUUGCAGGAAGAAGAUUUGGUGUUGAUAGAGGAGGCAACAUCUUCAAGGCAAAACCUUAGACCUCAUUCAACAUCAUCCAAUGUUGCAAUCCCCCUCAGGAGCCCAGUGGCCGAUAUGCACAGGAACAUUUCCAGUGUCAGAAGUAGAACUGCCAUGCCAGCCUUUGUGGAGAAAGUGAGGAGGAUGUGAUUCGUCAUGCAGCAGCACAGAUAAACACCAGAAAGACAUCUGAAAUCUAUCACGAGAUAACACGUCUGAAGUUGUGGAAACGUCAAAAACAGGAAGCCCUGUAUGUCCCUUGAAAAUCACCUUCCUUGGAGAGCCUGUAAAAAUAAAUAAAUAAAAUUAUUUGUAUAUAAAGCUAAAAACAAUAAAGCAAAAUGUUCUUUAUUUUGUAGGUGUUUUU